rnacentral:lncRNA from 1 species
GCUUCUUUACCAUGUAGCUCCUACGCUAUUUUGGAUUAUGAUCGGAUUUAGCUUUUUUUUUGGUAAGGGAAGAGGUGGAAUUGUUCAAAGUUUAAACAUAUAAUUCAAUGGGAGUCUUUUAUUACAGAACCAAUGUUUUGACAGUUUUGAUAUAGAAAGUGUAAAUAGUAGCAUCAAAGUCACCUUGGGAGGUAGAUUCUCAAGUGAAACCCACCAAAUCUUUAGAAUAUAUAAGUUAGAAAGAAGAGAAUACCACAAAAAAAGGGUAUUAUUUAGGGUUUUAGAAAAAGGUAUAGAAAUCUGGGUCUAUCCAUAUCCUUUUCAUGUACAUUUCUCCUCUUAAGGACACAAAUCCCAGUGACAUUGUUGUUUUCUCGUCCAAAAAUAAAAGCUUGAGUAGAGUCAACUUCAUAAACCAAAUCAAAACAAAAAUCACCAACAGCUGGAGGACCAACCUAGCCAGUAAUACAGGCCCGGACGCCCUUUGUUUAAGCUUCCACUUGCAUUUAAAAUUGGAGAUUCCCUCAUGCUUUAUAACUCAUUUUGUGGCCUCUAAAAUUUCAUUUGGAGCCACGUAAAAUCUGUAAGCUUGACUUUCACGCUAGAUUUAAUUUGGCCAACUGAUUCGCAACUAUGUUAUAGUCUCUAGCCACAUGCUUAAUUUGCCAUUGUCGUUCAAAUCUCAUAAUUCGUUAAAUCUUUCUAAACACUAUAACACCCCUUACCCGAGACCGUUUCCGGAGUCGAGUACGAGGCAUUACUUAGCUUAUCUUACUAAUUCGAAGCAUAAAAACUUGUUUUGAAAAUUAAUUUCACUAUUUACAGCAAUCUGUCUAAUCGCGCAGCAGUUACUAAAUUAAUUAUAAAUCGAGUUACGGGACUCGAAAUUUAAUUCCGAAAAUUUUCCCUGAAACUAGACUCAUAUAUCUUCCUACUAUAAAAUUUUCAGAAUUUUUGGUUCAGCCAAUUAGUACAGUUUAUUAGUUAAAGUCUCCCCUAUUUUACCACUUGACUGUCCUGACCUCUUGCCACUAAAAAUAAAUUUUCUCACUAUAGGAUUUUCAUAUGAAGUUAUUACUCGUUUUUACAGAAAAUAUACUCAAUAAGGAAUCUAUAGAUAUAAACUACAACUCAUAACCAUUUUUGUACAAUUUAUAAUGAUUUUCUAAACUUAUAACAGAGGACUCCAAAAAUAGUUCUGACCCUGUCUCACUAAAGUUCUCAUAUCUCAAAAUAUAAAAUUUCUUUUGUUAAACCGUUAUUUUUCCAUGAAAAUAGACUCAACAAGCUUUAAUUCCAUAUAUCAUUCACCCUCUAAUUAAUUUUAUACUAUCCUAGGUGAUUUUUCAAAGUCACAUCACUGUAGCUGCUUGAAAUCUGUUUCUUUACAAAUUUUUACUCUUUCAUGAUUUCCAUGCAUGAUUUAUCAUCUAAACAUACAUAUUACCAAACAUAUUCAUACUUAACCAUUUUAAAAGCCAAACAUUAUCACAUACUCACACAUCUUCCUUUAGCAAUAUCAUAGAUACAAACAUUCAAAUUGACUAAUCCCUAUACAUCACUUAGGUAUAAACAUUACUUAGGUACAUGCCACGUUAUCAAAAGAAAAGUACAUCGCUAAAUUUCUCUGAGGUCGGGAUUACUCUGGAUGCUGGACCGAACACUGGUUUUCUACUAACCUACGCACGGAAACAACCGUACGCUGAGUAUGGGAAUACUCAGUGGUAUUACCAUAAUUCAAAUUAAUAACUUUAAUCGAUAAUUUAUAUACAUUUAAUUUAUGUCUACAAUUAUUCGUUAAUUGCCUCAUACUUUAAAUCAACUUGAUCAUUAAUAACAAUAAGCAAUAUUUCAAUCUUAUAUUUAAUUGUAUUCAUACCUUGUUUCACUAUCUAAAUUUUAUUGGAUUUUUCAACAUCUCAUUCUAAUAACUCAUUCCAAUCCAUACAAACUCAAUCAUUUCAUCAACUCAUUCAUUAUCAUUUCUAUUUAUAUUCAAUUUUACACUUAUAAUCUUUUAAUACUCAAUUUACACAUUAAAUCCAUAAAUAAAAUUCAAUAACUUGUAUUCAAUUAAAUUCACAUAUUAUUUCACUAUUUCAAAUCAUUUUAUUUUCACUUGUCAUUUUUACAUCAUUUCAUAUUACCAAAAACUAUUUCAUAAAAUUUAUCAUUAUUUGUUUCUUGAACCAUUAUUCUCACAUUCCAUUUUCACAUCUCAAUUCAAUGUCUUAUUUCAAACCAAUUUACUUCAAUUCAAAUUGCUUUUAAUUUCCAAUCCAUAUACCUUCAAAUAUUCACAUAUUUCAUAAUUCAAUAUCAUUUCUUACUUCAAUUCUUUUAUUUUCCCCCUAUUAACAUGACUCGGACUUUGGCGGAUACAUGGAUCCAACCAAACACACCAGUACGGCACCCAGUGCCUCAUCGGAUAGUUCGAAGCAAUAGUUGACACCCAGUGUCUCAUCGGCAAAGCCGAAGUAAGUUGGUACCCAGUACCUCAUCGAAUCUAUCCGAAGNNNN